rnacentral:rRNA from 1 species
GCCCUUAGAGUUUGAUCCUGGCUCAGAACGAACGCUGGCGGCAGGCCUAACACAUGCAAGUCGAGCGCACCCUUCGGGGCGAGCGGCGGACGGGUUAGUAACGCGUGGGAACAUACCCUUUUCUACGGAAUAGCCUCGGGAAACUGAGAGUAAUACCGUAUAAGCCCUUCGGGGGAAAGAUUUAUCGGGAAAGGAUUGGCCCGCGUUAGAUUAGAUAGUUGGUGGGGUAAUGGCCUACCAAGUCUACGAUCUAUAGCUGGUUUUAGAGGAUGAUCAGCAACACUGGGACUGAGACACGGCCCAGACUCCUACGGGAGGCAGCAGUGGGGAAUCUUAGACAAUGGGCGCAAGCCUGAUCUAGCCAUGCCGCGUGUGUGAUGAAGGCCUUAGGGUCGUAAAGCACUUUCGCUAGGGAUGAUAAUGACAGUACCUAGUAAAGAAACCCCGGCUAACACCCUCCAACAGCCGCGGUAAUAAGGGCG